rnacentral:misc_RNA from 1 species
CACUCCUUCCAUCUUCACCUUCACGUAUCGAGAAUUAUUCGAAUUCAGUCCUCUGUAAAACCCGCCGCCGUUCUCCACCGCCGGUCGACGCCUUAUCACCGCGCCCCGUCCGACGCGUUUCUGCAUGAAAAGACUCUUCCUCCUCUUCUUAAGCGGCGGCCAUCCCACAAGCCCAUUCUCCCGUUCCUCAUCCUCGUCUGAAUCAUUAGAGGAAGCGGAAUGGGGGUCAUUAGAGUCAUCGUCGUCAUCGCCAUCAUUUGGAUGGUCAUUCCAUAGAAGCAGAGGAAGUGUUAGACGAAACGCCGCAGAGGAGUCAAAGUCGAGAGAACGCUUUUUGUGAGUGAUAGAAUCAAAAUCCAAACAGAGGGGAGUGUUUGUAUGAGUGUUUAAGUCGAAGGGUUUGAUGGGAUUGGUGGGGAUUAAAGCAAGGCCAAGUUGAAGCUCCAUAGGCAUAUGUAACAGGAAAAGAACAAAGAUGAUUGAAUAGAGG